rnacentral:lncRNA from 1 species
GAUAUAUCAAGAAAAUGAAGGGGGAGAGGGAGAUCAUUUUCUUUCUUUGAUUUGUCUUGAUUCACCAAAAACCGGCUCCUAUCUCGAUCUAUUCAGAAUAGAGCGAUAAGUAAGAGUCAAAAAUAUGAUAAAAAUUAAUUCGUUCUGAAUCCGCCCCGACCUAUUUGUAUUUCUAAUCAUAAUAACGACACAACAAAAGUACAAAAAAAAACUAUAAGUAUUUAAUUUUAAAUUUUCUUUUUUUAGUCUUCAAAACUUUUUAGUUUGAGUUAUAACCUUCAAUUCGGUAUUAGCAUUUCGUCACUAUUGCUUGCAAAAAUUGUGUGGUACAAUUAAGUAGCUUAUUAAGAUAUCUUUUAUAUGCUCAAAAAUGAUGAAAACACAUAUAAGAGAGAGAGGGAAAGAGAGAGUUCGGCUACAGUAUUAUCAAUAUAUAGUACCAAACGCUUGAUACUAUCGAGUUUUCCAUAAUUAGUUCUAUCUCUUUGACCAUUUCCAUCCGUUAGAUCAUAUUAUUCAAUCAACGGCCCACUCAACUUUAGAAGAUCACUAUCAUCCUAAUUGCACAUUCCUUCAUCCAAGGGUCGAAAAUUUAAUAGCACAAAGUGCUUGAUAUUAUUAAUAGUAUAAUAGCCCCCCC